CAGGAUCUACCAUGAACAUUGAGCCAUUUGUUAUGUUAGAAAUUGUUUUUAAGGCACAACAGGCAAUGAAUUUAAUACUCACAGCAAGACCAUCAACCACAACUCUCUAAGUAUCUCAAGUAAUGGGGGCAGGAUAAGUGCACAACAAAGACAUGUUCCAAAGGAAAUGUCCCCAUCCCUAAAUCCUGAGGGUGAAAUAACUUGGCAUAGAUUUUUGUGGAUUUGGGGCUUAAAAAUCCUGUAAGAUCUAAACUCAAUGUCAUGGUUCAUUUCCCAAAUCUAGACUGUAGCUGUGGCCAAUGAAUCCUGGGGUGUAUGCUCAAUAAACUGUCCCUGUCUG
rnacentral:lncRNA from 1 species